rnacentral:rRNA from 1 species
CCUGAAUCCAGCAAUGCCGCGUGUGCGAAGAAGGCCUUCGGGUUGUAAAGCACUUUUGUCAGGGAAGAAAUCCUUUGGGCUAAUACCCUAGGGGGAUGACGGUACCUGAAGAAUAAGCACCGGCUAACUACGUGCCAGCAGCCGCGGUAAUACGUAGGGUGCAAGCGUUAAUCGGAAUUACUGGGCGUAAAGCGUGCGCAGGCGGUUGUGUAAGACAGGUGUGAAAUCCCCGGGCUUAACCUGGGAAUUGCAUUUGUGACUGCACGACUAGAGUGUGUCAGAGGGGGGUGGAAUUCCACGUGUAGCAGUGAAAUGCGUAGAUAUGUGGAGGAACACCAAUGGCGAAGGCAGCCCCCUGGGAUAACACUGACGCUCAUGCACGAAAGCGUGGGGAGCAAACAGGAUUAGAUACCCUGGUAGUCCACGCCCUAAACGAUGUCAACUAGUUGUUGGGGAUUUACUUCCUUGGUAACGUAGCUAACGCGUGAAGUUGACCGCCUGGGGAGUACGGCCGCAAGGUUAAAACUC